rnacentral:lncRNA from 1 species
GGAGCGAGCUGGGAUAUCUCCCAAAACCCAUAGGUCCGAGUCUCCUUGUUGCAUUGGAAGUGGCGAUGUUGCGAGGAGAUUCCGAGGCCUCCAAUCGCACUUGGCCGCAACGGCCAAUUCUAGCUGCGCCGGCGAUUUUCGAACGACAGAUCGAAGUUCUCCAUUGGCGUCUGCAGUUUGGACACCCACGAGUGCGAUGGUGUUGUCCGUGUGGCCAGGCGACAAGCGGAAGUCUUCGACUCGUGAAUGGCAGCGGCUGGAGAAUUGCUCCUAUCGCGCCUAGGUUGGCUCCCUGGUGGCGGGUGAUGGCAAGAACCCCUGGGCUUGGAGGUUGAAGACCGGUGUUCAUGGUGCAAGAGGCUGCGUCGUGAGUGGUGGCAGCGGUGGUCGACGCCGACGACGGAUUAGGCUGCUGUUUUCUCCAUUUUUUCUCCUUUGUAUAGCAUGGAGAAGUUUUUUUUUUUUUUUUCUUUUUUUGGACAUAGAGGAAAAUGGCGCUUGGGUGCCUAGAGAAAUUUUGCCGGCUGUUGUGGUUGUUCUCAUGUUGUUCCUCUCGAAGGGCCUCUCACCAUAGUGACUUGAUAACUUUGGAUUGAUGAAUGAGAGGGGAAACGAAUUUCCCUUGAUUUGGAUUCGAGAACAUCGCAUUGAGUAUAUCUCGAAUCUCUCAAUGAAAGCCCCAAUUUGUGGGACGUCCUUAGAGAAUAUUCGUCUCAAGAUCCGUUCUUUCUUUUCGCUUCUUUUUCUCCCUGCAAAAUAAUAUGGAGUGAAAAGACCACACACCCGGGGGUGUUGUCCAAAGGCCGUCCAAUGCCUAAGUUAGGUCAAAUGUUCGUAGGAAAAAUAAUAGCUAACAAAGGGAGAGGGGUCGGAGCCUUGUGUGAGAGAAAGAAA